GUGCCAGCCGCCGCGGUAAUACGGAGGGAGCUAGCGUUGUUCGGAAUCACUGGGCGUAAAAGCGCGCGUAGGCGGUCUUGUAAGUUAGGGUGAAAGCCCGGAGCUCAACUCCGGAACUGCCCUUAAGACUGCAAGACUAGAAUCCGGGAGAGGUGAGCGGAAUUCCGAGUGUAGAGGUGAAAUUCGUAGAUAUUCGGAAGAACACCAGUGGCGAAGGCGGCUCACUGGACCGGUAUUGACGCUGAGGUGCGAAAGCGUGGGAGCAAAC
rnacentral:rRNA from 1 species